rnacentral:lncRNA from 1 species
UUUUAUUGAACAAACUAUAAUUAUAUAUUACCUCGAUAGGUGGAUAGUCGAUAAACAGUCCACCAAGACUCGUGUCCACCUGUGGUAAUGGGACUCUAUCAUGGUUCACAUCGACACCUGAGUCAUGCUUUCCUUGUUUUCUACCAGUUUUCUUCUUCUUCUGAAACUUUGUUGCACCUAUAAACUCAAUAUUGAAACUAGAGUUAAUUGCCAAAAUCGUCCCUGAGGUUUGGGCAUGUUUGUCAUUUUCGUCCAAAAUAACUUUUUUGUACCAAAUAGCCCCCCACGUUUGUAAAUUUUUAUAAUUUUCAUUCAAUUGCCUAUCUGGGUUAGAAACAACCGUUUGAUGAGGGUUUUAUUUUUUAAAUUUCCCACACAACUAAUGAAGACAAAAUGUAGAUAGAUGCAGUUUCUUUACACACACAUUCCAAGAAGAGGACACUAUGUACACCCUAUAUUUAUACUAGCUAACAUUUUAAAACAAAUAUGAAAAAGUUUCUAACGUUAUUCGUCCACAUAAAAUAGAUUAUGCAUCUCUAUGGAAAUGAUUGAUUAUAAGAAACUGAAAAUAUAAGAAACAUGAUCUUAUGCGUCUACCUAAGCCUACCAAAACGGGUGGGUCGGUCAGGUAACGGGUGUAAACGGAGUCUGAGCAAAAUUGGUUCGGGUCAAAACCUGUCGUAUAGUUUGAGUUGACCCAAACGAACUCAUAUGCAUUUUUUUCAUAUGAAUAUGAAUUUGAAUGAGAAUUUCUUUGGGGGCAUACCUUUGGGCAAAAAAUCUAAACGUUAAGUGAACCAUCACCAUGAAUAGCCAAGAUUCAUGUUCAGGUUCAUUAUUUUAACCUGCCAACCCCAAACCCGUUAAUUUGCCAAUAGACAAUCAUACUGAAAAGCAAACCUGGUGCCCAUGCCUUUUAGUAGUUGUAUACGACUGACGUGAAUCACUCAAACCUUGAGAUAUAAGAAUUCCACUUUUUUUAGGUGUAGGUGUUCCUAUAACAUAAUUAGAACAUGACAUGAGAAAUGGAAAAAUAACAUAUUUGUUAGAGAAACUAAGCACAUUGAGCCAGCUGAUAAGAAAACUUCUCUCCAAGAAGGGAAGAGCAAGUAUGCCAGAGAGUUUCUAUGUACAAAACACAAGAAAAUUCAGCAUUGUUUGAGUUGAACAAAAGUACAAAGCAUGUAAUCAAAGGUAGAAUACUAACCAAAUUAGUAAUUCACACAACAUUCUAUAUACGAAUAUUAUUGUGCAUCGUCAGUUAAACAACUGUUUUAACAUAUCAAGCCCAUAGUUACAUUCCAUUCAAUAACAUAUUUUACUAAAAGAAUUAUACAACCUACAUGGAUCUCCUUUUCUAGACAAAAGGUCUUAUGGUUCACUCAAAUCAUAAACAAGAAGAUGAAGUAUACAUAUAACUUCCACUCAAUAGCAAUAAACUACAAACUACAAAUACAAAAAAACUUAACAAACAGGGGUCCCUAGAGACGGAGGAAUUACCACAUGAUCACAGUAAUUUUAACUAUCAAAUUACCACAGUAAACAGUUUGGCAUUACUUGCAAGUUUCCAUUCAAAGGAGUAAUUAAAAACCAAAAUACGAACCUAAUCUUUACCGGAGCAGUGAAUGCCCCGACAUGGCGACAUAUGCCCUGAACGCAUUGUUUC